UACGAAGGGGGCUAGCGUUGUUCGGAUUUACUGGGCGUAAAGCGCACGUAGGCGGAUCGAUCAGUCAGGGGUGAAAUCCCAGAGCUCAACUCUGGAACUGCCUUUGAUACUGUCGAUCUGGAGUAUGGAAGAGGUGAGUGGAAUUCCGAGUGUAGAGGUGAAAUUCGUAGAUAUUCGGAGGAACACCAGUGGCGAAGGCGGCUCACUGGUCCAUUACUGACGCUGAGGUGCGAAAGCGUGGGGAAGAAACAGG
rnacentral:rRNA from 1 species